ACUUCAACACGUCUCUUCACAUGGAUGCUUGAAUCACUUUUUGGCUCGAGGUGAGACACAUUAAAUUUCAUAAUUAGGUAGCAAUGAGCCUCAAACCUCAAAAACUUGGACUGCUGUGAUAUUGUCUUCACCUAAUCCAAAAACUUAAGUUGUUAGAGAUCAAAUAAACCUCUUUUUUUAUAUUUAUACAUUCAACAAUAUAUAAGCAUAGUUGAAACCACCUAAUCGGAAAGCUCAAACUGUUGCAGAAAGUAGAAAGUUAUAUAUUUAAAUUUCCUUAACUAUGCACAUUGGCAGCAAGAAGAAUGUAUUACCUCAACCUACCCUAUGUAGUGUUUAACAAUCUCAUUUAAAAGUUUAAGUCAUUAGAGAGAUGACAAUUAUUUUUUAAAUUUGACUUCAAUGAGGAUAGGAUACUGCAAAAAGGUGAUUGUGUUCAUGGUGGUGUAACUUUUCUAGCGCAUGAAGGUUUAAUCUCAACCUGCUGUGAUGCAUUGACCGCAGAAGAUGGGAGCCGAGAAUCGCAAGAGGACUUUCCAGCAAAAAUCUUCCCUACGAACAAGCAAAAAAUUAGCUACAUCUUAUUCAAAAAGGUAUUGCACAAGCUAAAAUUUGUCAUGUAUAUUUAAUUAUCUUACCGGUGAAGGGAAUAGGGGAUUUUUUACCAAUCAAAAUUUCUCAGGAAUACUAUGUUUUAUGGUUAUUAGAUUUUAUUAUUAUCGCAAAUCUCAUUGGUACACCGAACAUGAUAUGACUGACCUUAGAUAUUUUUACUAAGUACACACUUUCCACAUUAAAAACAUUGGUGAUCAUUUAACUUUUAGCAAAUAUUUCCAUGUUAGUCACUAAACUUCACUUUGUUCCAAGUUGAUUGUUGAGCUCAAACUUUGGGAUCAAUGAACUCAAGCAUUUGUUACAAUUUAGUCGUUCCAUCCAGGUAUGUAAGUUGGGCGAAAAGAAAAACUGAUGGGGCAGUUUAGUUUGCAUAUAGCUAGAUUGACGUGUCGUGCCGUUUGUCAAUCAAACUAACUAGAUAGAUGGAGUGAUCAAGUUAUAACAAAGCUAAGUUCAAACCGACCCAUUCUCCGUUUUCAAACUUAAUUCUAAUUAUGAAAAGAAAAUAUACUUGAAUUUAGACUGUGAAUCAUCGUAAGAAUGGAAAUUCGAAAAACUCCAAAUCUUGUCAAACCCACAAAACAGAUUGGGCCCCUCAAUCAAUCCCAGUUCAGACCAAGUUAAAAUUACACAAAAGUUGGGUGAAAAAAAUAGAUCACUACUCCAACACGAAGAAAAUGCAAAUGCAAUCCAUUUACCAAAAAAAUAUCAGACAAAUAUUAGGAAAAUUCCUGUAUCAAACCAAUUCUUAAGUAACAUUUAAAUAGAAAAUCUAUUCUACGAUGCAGAGGCACCAAUGUAACAAGUUUGUAUAGCAAGGAAAGGACAGUAAUAAAAUUACUUGAAAAGUUGGAGUGGGCCGGGAAAAAGAAAGAGAGACGGGAACUUUUGCUCUGCUCCGCAAGAGAAGUACAAGGAAAUGCAGUGAAGCGAACCCCUGGAAGAGAGACCAUUUUAACGAAGGGAUCCGCUUGCUGCAGAAUUCAGUUUUUGGAAGAUGAAGGGAUAGAAGAAAGAAUUGUAAGGAGCCAAGAGAAACCACGGAAUAGUGGCAGUUUAAUGAUAACAUGAGUGUAAAUAGUGCAGAUUGUUACGUGUGGUUAGAGAGCAGCUUAGGUGGAUGGUGAUCAGAGUUAUGUGGGACCAGCCAGAAAUUGCACUUUAGGUUUGCU
rnacentral:lncRNA from 1 species